UCGGGAAUUUUGGGCAAUGGGCGCAAGCCUGAUCCAGCCAUGCCGCGUGCAGGAUGAAGGCCUUCGGGUUGUAAACUGCUUUUGUACGGAACGAAAAGACUCUGGUUAAUACCUGGGGUCCAUGACGGUACCGUAAGAAUAAGCACCGGCUAACUACGUGCCAGCAGCCGCGGUAAUACGUAGGGUGCGAGCGUUAAUCGGAAUUACUGGGCGUAAAGGGUGCGUAGGCGGUUAAAUAAGUUAGAUGUGAAAUCCCCGGGCUUAACCUGGGAAUUGCAUUUAAUACUGUAUGACUAGAGUAGAGUAGAGGGAAGUGGAAUUUCCGGUGUAGCGGUGAAAUGCGUAGAUAUCAAGAGGAACACCUGAGGUGAAGACGGGUUGCUGGGCUGACACUGACGCUGAGGCGCGAAAGCCAGGGGAGCAAACGGGAUUAGAUACCCAUGUAGUCCCUGAGCGGGCUGGCAAGGCGCAU
rnacentral:rRNA from 1 species